rnacentral:rRNA from 1 species
UACGUAGGGUGCAAGCGUUGUCCGGAGUUAUUGGGCGUAAAGCGCACGUAGGCGGUGCGGUAAGUGUGGUGUGAAAUCUGCGGGCUUAACUCGCAGCGGUCGCUGCAGACUGCCGUGCUUGAGGGCUGGAGAGGAAGAUGGAAUUCCCGGUGUAGUGGUGAAAUGCGUAGAUAUCGGGAGGAACACCAGUGGCGAAGGCGGUCUUCUGGCCAGUUUCUGACGCUGAGGUGCGAAAGCUAGGGGAGCGAACGGG